UCCCUCAUACUUGGGGUGUUUGGGGCAAACACCUUAAGGUCCUGUCUUGUUUAGGAAAGGAGUGCUUUGAAAAUUUCUACUUUUCAUCCUGAUGCAUAGAUUUCUGUUGGGUUCAAGAUAAUUUGACCAAUCUUUGAUUCCUUUAUCUCAUAUACACUCCCCAACCCAUCCCCUGGUUUUCAUUUCUUCUCUGUCUACAGCUGGAAAAACCGGAGUCCCAGAAUGGGAGGUACAGAGACAACUACAUUUGGUGGGUUAAUUCUGUAAAGGGGUUUGUUUAGAGGCAUACUGUUCUAUGAGCUUUACCUUGUGUGGGAAAGAUGGCUUCCAGGCACAAUACAACUUCAAGAGUUCCCUGUAGUGGAGAAUAGCACUAACUUGAAUUCUAUCCACUUCAGAGAACAGCAGCGAUAGAGACAGCACUUGCCUGACAGAGGCUAGGAAAUGACCAAACUAAUAAAAGGCCCAGCUAAGCAAAGAGGCUGUCUUUUCUAUAGCCAAGGAAAUCAAAGCGCCACCCACUUGUCCAAACUUAAGCAGUGGGUGGAACCGGCUGUGUGAACUUCAUUUACUGGGGCUCCUCCCAAAGGUGACAAGACCUGCCUAGGCCUGUAACUUGCUGUCAAGGGAGCUAGAGCACCUCCGCAAACACAAACAUAAAUUUGAAGAUCUUGGAGAUGUAACAGAGUUGGCCUUUUCUCCUCUUUCGCUUCUCCUUUGCCAUCUCUGUGGGACUGACUCCCGCUAGUUUCAGUAACAGAUCCCAUGGCCAAUUACUCUGGGGAUUCAGGAUCUCUGCCCUGUAAGUCCUGUGAUAUGGUUUUCAGCUCCUGGGCUUUGUUAGCCAUCCACACACAGCGAUUCUGCAUUGGCCGUCUGACUGCGGAGGUCACACGUGGGACGCAGCCUUCAGUAGCCAUGGACCAAAGGGGCACCACGAUUGCAGGACAAGAACAGAGCCGUUCAGAGCAAGAGGCCAGCAAACUUGCUCUAAAAAGGUUGACAGAGGAGGAAAUGCGUCUCUGGGCGACUGAGGGUCCCACCUCCCAGACUGCUGGAAGCCCUAGCGAAAGGCUGCGGGCGUUGCAGGGAACCCGCGCCAAGCGCCUGGAGGAGACAGAAGCCCAAAGCCGGGCCCUAGAGCGCCGCGGCCAGGAACUAAAACGGCGCCUCCUUGGCGUAGCGGGACUCAGGGGAGGAUUAUCCGCGCCAUUCGGGCUCGAGCGCGAGCUCGGAGAACUCAGGGCCGAGGCCGUCCGGACGCGGGCUGCUCUGCAAUCACUGGGUGCUCGCCUCUUGGCGAUCCAGUCACAGCCGAGGAUCCCACAGGAUUAUUUUAAGGAGCUAGACUCCUGUUCCACAUCGCUACCGGUCAAGCCAGGAACGCUUCCCGCAGAGAUCCAGGCCCUACGUGAGGCCUACGUGCGCGGUGGAGGCCGGGACCCUGGACUUCUGGACAAAAUAUGGCAGCUGCAAGUGGAGGCUUCAGCCCUGGAGUUGCGGCGUUCGCAGAACCGCAAGGAAAACCUUAAUGUUGGAGAACUACAUAAAGCAAGGAAUGGCACGUCUCUUAAAUUCUUCUCAGAUAAAGCAAGUGCCACCUCUGAGGAACUUUUAGUGGUAGAAGCUGAAAACCGGAUCCUGGAAGCAGAAAUCCAGGCCUUGCAGAAGGGCCUGAGUCUGGCGCCUUGGGGACCCAGGGAGCACCACCUCCUACGUGACCUCUGGCCACACCUGAGCAGAAGGGGUGAUAACCCCCUCCUCCCACCAGCUGCACCUGCAAUGCCACCACUUGCCAGCCCCACAAAUGUCCACAACUCCCAUGGCACUGCAACAUCUCAGGUACUUAAUGUAACCAUGACAAGGAAUUUAGGACUGGAUCGACACAUCCUACCAGCACCUGAUGUUCUGGGCCCUGCACCCUAUGAUCCUGGACUCCUAUUCUUCAGGGCUGGCCUUGUCAUUUUCUAUGACUUCCUGUGGGGCCUUGAGGCUUCGUGGAUUUGGGUGCAGCUAAUGACAAGCUUGGCCCGGGAUGGACACGAUACAGGAGGGACCACAGCAUUGCCUCCAGCCCUUUGCCUACCACCACCUUCACCUGCUGGACCUAUGGGCAACUGUGCCAUCCUUGCAAGCAGGCAGCCUGUACCCAGCCAGGUCAAGGUGAGCUCUUUCUGAGGCUUGUGAAUGCAAGAGAUGCAGAUGUCCAUACACUGACAGAGAUCAAUCCAGCAAGUGCCCAUGAAUACCAGUACCCACCACUGGUAUCCAAUUCAUCUUCACUGGAAACCAGUUCCCUCACCCACAAUUCUGGAUUUGCUGAUCCCCAACCUCCCACAGAAGAGGGUUUCAUCAGUGUCAAGGAUAAAGAUGAGCAUUUGAGCCCUCACUCGUUAUGACUCCAUAAAGUUUCUGAGGUUGAUGGCCUGUUUCUAGACCUGCAGCUUUUCUAAUGAAGUCUGGAAUUAACAGUAAACUUCAAGCAAGCCAGCUA